rnacentral:rRNA from 1 species
UACGUAGGGUGCGAGCGUUAAUCGGAAUUACUGGGCGUAAAGAGUGCGUAGGUGGUUUGCUAAGCGCGAUGUGAAAUCCCUGGGCUUAACCCAGGAAUGGCAUAGUGAACUGGCGAACUAGAGUGCAGCAGAGGGAGGUGGAAUUCCACGUGUAGCAGUGAAAUGCGUAGAGAUGUGGAGGAACACCGAUGGCGAAGGCAGCCUCCUGGGCUGACACUGACACUGAGGCACGAAAGCGUGGGGAGCAAACAGG